GACGAACGCUGGCGGCGUGCCUAAUACAUGCAAGUCGAGCGAAUGGAUGGGAGCUUGCUCCCUGAAGUUAGCGGCGGACGGGUGAGUAACACGUGGGCAACCUGCCUAUAAGACUGGGAUAACUUCGGGAAACCGGAGCUAAUACCAGAUAAUUCAUAUCUACUCAUGUAGGUGUGCUUAAAGACGGUUUACGCUGUCACUUAUAGAUGGGCCCGCGGCGCAUUAGCUAGUUGGGGAGGUAACGGCUCACCAAGGCGACGAUGCGUAGCCGACCGGAGAGGGUGAUCGGCCACACUAGGACUGAGACACGGCCCAGACUCCUACGGGAGGCAGCAGUAGGGAAUCUUCCGCAAUGGACGAAAGUCUGACGGAGCAACGCCGCGUGAGUGAUGAAGGUUUUCGGAUCGUAAAACUCUGUUGUUAGGGAAGAACAAGUACUAGCGUAACUGCUAGUACCUUGACGGUACCUACCCAGAAAGCCACGGCUAACUACGUGCCAGCCGCCGCGGUAA
rnacentral:rRNA from 1 species